UGACACAAACCGGUGCUAAAGGGGUCUUUAACAUCGGGCCGCAAAAAGGCCGAGGUUUUUGGCCAUUUUGGGCAUCGACCAAUGCCUCAUUCUGUAGUAGUAGUGUAGCAACCUCUAAAAAAAGAUAAACUAGCACUUUCUACUUAUAUAACCUAAUAAUAAUAAUAAUAAUAAUAAUAAUAAUAAUAAUAAUAAUAAUAAUAAUAAUAAUAAUAAUAAUAAUAAUAAUAAUAAUAAUAAUAAUAAUAAUAAUAAUAAUAAUAAUAAUAAUAAUAAUAAUAAUAAUAAUAAUAAUAAUAAUAAUAAUAAUAAUAAUAAUAAUAAUAAUAAUAAUAAUAAUAAUAAUAAUAAGCAAAUUCAAGGCACUUUACACUUUCUUCAUAUGUGCACUAAUGGUGUUUCUUAAAUAUUUUUCUUGGACUUCCAAAAAGAGAAUUACGUUUUGUUAUUAUCUUGCAAUUGAUCCAGCUUUUGUAAUAAACGACCUCAUUCUCUUGUUCGGAUGGUAAAUCUUUUGUAAUCGUAAACUAGCACUUGCUAAAUCUUUUGUAAUUGCAGGCAUUGAUAAUUUCUUCGUACAUACAUUAGUUGAUGUUUCUUAAACAUCUUCUCGGUGUAAAAAAAAUGGCACUUCGUUAUUAUCUUGCAUUGAUUCAGAUCCGUGAAGUGGUCUGAUUCGUUUAUUCAGAUAUAUAGUCAAAUAACGCUAGAACUGAAUUUUAUCUUUUGGGCCAGACUGAUCCGUGAAUACUUGAGAAUAACGUGGGCUUUAUCUUUUGGGCCAGACUGGAUGCCCAUGAUCCUCUGAAUUCGCUUGACUAUGGCUCAGUGCAGGCAUCCAGCCCAGCUUGUAGUGUGAUUGUGUGAUUGGUUGACUGGCCCAAUUGCCCAACCCGUAGCCAGGAUCGGCCCACUAGUUCAUGGCUUCAUGGUGUUUGGUUUCCUUUCCUGGGCUGGCGAUGUCCUUUUCCCACAUUUGCAGGCCCAAAGCUUGCCCUGACAAAAGUGAAGUUGGCUAUAUAUAUGCCCAAUUGCAAAAAAAAAAAAAAAAAAAAAUUAUUUGCUUUUGUCCCUUGGGCCUUGGGAGCCCUCGUUCGUGAACUGAAAGGGAGACGACAUACUCGUACCUGUUUGUUUGUCUGGAAGCGUGCAUUGGCAAUUUGCCGUGUGCGGCAGCUGCAUUGAUGGAUGGCUGUGUGCGUGGCUGCUUUCGUUCGUCGUUCAGUGGUAGCCCCAGCCUGGACUGGACCGGAGUCGGCGCUGGUGUGUAUUGGGCUAGGCUGUAUUCUUAUGGGCCUUUAGGUUGUAGUUUCAUUUUUUUUUGUAUAUUUCGGUUAACUAAGCACAGGAACUGCAAAUAACCGUAGUAAUUUCGGUUCUUCAGAGUCUGAAACCCAAUAGGAACCGAAUUUUUCGGUUUCAGUCAAUUUCCUUUCGUUAACAGUUAGUUCAGUUUGGUUCUUGGUUCUCAGUUAUUUUUGCCCCGUGUGAGUCAUUAGGCCCUGUUUAGUUCCGAAAAAAUUUCGGCUUUCGCUACUGUAGCUAUUUCGUUUUAAUUUGAUAAAUAUUGUCUAAUCAUGAACUAUCUAGGAUCAAAAGAUUCAUCUCGCGAUUUAUAGACAAACUGUGUAAUUAAUUUUUGUUUUCGUCUAUAUUUAAUGUUUCAUGCAUAUACCGCAAGAUUCGAUGUGACGGAGAAUCUUGAAAACUUUUUGGAUUUCGGGGUGAAGUAAACAAGGCCUUAGUAGCUGCUGCUCACUACUCAUAAGUCAUGUCAGAGCACCGCCCACAUAUGCCACAGCCACAGGUUGCAUGGACAAUCAUCAUACAUACACGUUCCGCAGAGCACGUUUUCCUUGCUCGUGGUCUUCCUUCACUGUGCACUCCAUGGGUCGCUCAUUGCUGCCAACAUGGCCCAUGCAUACCUGUCCGUGCGUCCCGCCGGUGUUUCGAUCGUGCAUGCUUGGACUCUUCCAUUCCAUUCAUGCAUGCAUCCCAUUCCCGACGAAAUGUACGUAAAGAUCAUCAUCAGACACCGCACAGCGCAUCACCCAUUCACCCUGCAGAUCCAUGGAGCGCGCCCCCAAAAAUCCAAAAUCCAUGCUGGCGUUGGCAUAUUUAAUGCUUUAUACGUGUGUUUAAAGAUUUAAUACAAUAAAAAAAAUUUAAAAUUUUUGUAAACUAAACCAAGCCUUAGGCCUUGUUUAGUUCACCUUGAAAACCAAAAAGUUUUCAAGAUUUCCCGUC
rnacentral:lncRNA from 1 species